rnacentral:rRNA from 1 species
CACGACGCACGGGUGCGUAACACGUGGGCAACCUGCCCUCCGAUGGGGAAUAACCCCGCGAAAGCGGGGCUAAUACCGCAUAACAUUCCUUGGACUUAGGUUUGAGGAUUCAAAGCAGCAAUGCGUCGGAGGAGGGGCCCGCGGCCGAUUAGCUAGUUGGUGAGGUAACGGCUCACCAAGGCAAUGAUCGGUAGCUGGUCUGAGAGGAUGAUCAGCCACACUGGAACUGAGACACGGUCCAGACUCCUACGGGAGGCAGCAGUGGGGAAUCUUGCACAAUGGGCGAAAGCCUGAUGCAGCGACGCCGCGUGGGGGAUGAAGCUUCUCGGAGUGUAAACCCCUUUCGCCUGGGACGAAUGCCCGCAAGGGAGUGACGGUACCAGGAUAAGAAGCCCCGGCUAACUACGUGCCAGCAGCCGCGGUAAGACGUAGGGGGCCAGCGUUGUUCGGAAUUACUGGGUGUAAAGGGUUCGUAGGCGGUGCGGCAAGUCGGGAGUGAAAUCUCUGGGCUCAACUCAGAGGCUGCUUCCGAAACUGCUGUGCUUGAGUGUGGGAGAGGCUCGUGGAAUUGCAGGUGUAGCGGUGAAAUGCGUAGAUAUCUGCAGGAACACCCGUGGCGAAAGCGGCGAGCUGGAUCACUACUGACGCUGAGGAACGAAAGCUAGGGGAGCAAACAGGAUUAGAUACCCUGGUAGUCCUAGCCCUAAACGAUCAGGACUUGGGGUGCCACCCGUUCGGGUGGCGUCCCGGAGCUAACGCGUUGAGUUCUGCGCCUGGGGAGUACGGUCGCAAGACUGAAACUCAAAGGAAUUGACGGGGGCCCGCACAAGCGGUGGAACAUGUGGUUCAAUUCGA